AUUGAACGCUAGCGGGCUGCUUUACACAAGCAAGUCGAAAGAGUAGCGGACGGGUGCGUCAUAUAUCGGAACGUGCCCCAUAGCGGGGGAUCACUACUCGACAGAGUGGCUAAUAACGCAUACACUGUGAGCGGCCGCUAUCGGAUUAGUUAGUUGGUGGGGUACAGGCUCACCAAGGCCACGAUCCGUAGCUGGUCUGCGAGGAAGACCAGACACACUGGGACUGAGACACGGCCCCGACUCCGACGGUAGGCAGCAGUGGGGAAUUUUGGACAAUGGGGGAAACCCUGAUCCAGCCAUCCCGCGUGUAUGAGAAGGCCUUCGGGUUGUAAAGUACUUUUGGCAGAGAAGCGGUAUCUGAAGAAUAAGCACCGGCUAACUACGUGCCAGCCGCCGCGGUAAUAC
rnacentral:rRNA from 1 species